GACGAACGCUGGCGGCGUGCUUAACACAUGCCAGUCGAACGGAAAGGCCCCUUUGGGGGUACUCGAGUGGCGAACGGGUGAGUAACACGUGAGUAACCUGCCCUUGACUUCGGGAUAACUUCAGGAAACUGGGGCUAAUACCGGAUAGGAAUCCUUGCUGCAUGGUGGGGGUUGGAAAGCUUCGGCGGUUUUGGAUGGACUCGCGGCUUAUCAGCUUGUUGGUGGGGUAGUGGCUUACCAAGGCUUUGACGGGUAGCCGGCCUGAGAGGGCGACCGGCCACAUUGGGACUGAGAUACGGCCCAGACUCCUACGGGAGGCAGCAGUGGGGAAUAUUGCACAAUGGGCGGAAGCCUGAUGCAGCAACGCCGCGUGCGGGAUGACGGCCUUCGGGUUGUAAACCGCUUUCAGCAGGGGCGAAGCUUGUGGUGACGGUACCUGCAGAAGAAGCACCGGCUAACUACGUG
rnacentral:rRNA from 1 species